rnacentral:rRNA from 1 species
CCUACGGGAGGCAGCAGUCGAGAAUCAUUCACAAUGGGGGAAACCCUGAUGGUGCGACGCCGCGUGGGGGAAUGAAGGUCUUCGGAUUGUAAACCCCUGUCAUGUGGGAGCAAAUUAAAAAGAUAGUACCACAAGAGGAAGAGACGGCUAACUCUGUGCCAGCAGCCGCGGUAAUAUAGAGGUCUCAAGCGUUGUUCGGAAUCACUGGGCGUAAAGCGUGCGUAGGCUGUUUCGUAAGUCGUGUGUGAAAGGCGCGGGCUCAACCCGCGGACGGCACAUGAUACUGCGAGACUAGAGUAAGGGAGGGGGAACCGGAAUGCUCGGUGUAGCAGUGAAAUGCGUAGAUAUCGAGAGGAACACUCGUGGCGAAGGCGGGUUCCUGGACAUUAACUGACGCUGAGGCACGAAGGCCAGGGGAGCGAAAGGGAUUAGAUACCCUAGUAGUC